AUGGCGGCGGCUGAGGAGGGGAAAGCGGAUGGGAAGAUGGCGGCAGCUGAUGAGGGGAAAGCGGAGGGGACGAUGGCGGCGGCUGAGGAGGGGAAAGCGGAGGGGGCCUCCUAUCCUGACCGCUCGACCCCCCCGAUCCUCGAGGUCGCCCUCGGCAAGGAUUUCGUCGACAUUCCCUCCAACGCCGACGAGAGCCCCGCCUGGUUGCUACUCGUCGGCGUCAUGAGCGGCGGCCUACGCUUCCACCGUUUUGGCGUGGCGAGAUCUGGGCGGAUCUCCGGUCGGAGCGGCGACACGCUCCAGAUCUUCCACGACCUCAAGAAGCGACAGGGUUGCAGCCGGAGCGCCCGCGCAGCCAUGGCAUCUGACGGCCGCUCGCUCUGCCUCUUGCAGCGGGUCGAGAAGGCGCAAACCGAGGCCCUUCAGCUUCAGCUGCCGGCCGAGGAGGAGCUGCCGGCCGAAGUACUGCUUCCCCCGUUGGAUCCAAGCAUGCGUGGCCGGUGCGUGCCCAUCUCCGCCGACGGCCACAUAUGGGCGGUGUCCGCUAGCUACUGUUCUGCCACCAGCUUCCGUCUCGUCCUGCAACGCCUGGUCAUCCAAGAGGAAGAGGGCGUGGCGGGACAACAUUGGGAGCAGGUCGGCGGCCCCUUCAUCCAACAUUGCAAAGUCGAGCUCUCCCACCCCAUGUGGAGUCCUGACUUGCUCCAGGGCUACGCAGUACUCCCUGGCCAGGGCCCUGACGGGGGCACGCUCAUCCUGCUCUCCCUCGGAAACCGCCUUUUCUUCACCUUCAAUUGCUCCGCCCCUAAUUCAGGCUGGACCAAGGUAACCCACACCUCAAAGGACAAGUAUUACGUCCCUAUCCUUGGCCGUGGGGUGUAUGCACAAGAAAGCAAUGCUGUUUACAUGGUUGGCAAAAAUGUCAUCUACGCAUACAAGCUCAAGCUCGGGCAUGAAGAGACAAGUCUGAAGCUGGAUCCCCCUGUGGAGAUUUGCUUUCCUUCUGUUACAAGAAACACGGCGCAUAGCUUCCUCACCCAUCUCGGCCGCGGGGUCAUGUGCUGUGUCUGGAUCUGUGUGGGGCUCCCAUGCUGGCUUGACCACCUACACGCCAUUAUUACCACCUUCCACCUUGGUCCUGAGCCUUCGGAUCUCAAGCUCCUGCACUCCACCUCCCGCCAGGUUGACAUGUUGUUGCCUAUGAAACACCUUGAUGAAUUUGAAUUCUGCUUUCUCCAAGAGUAUAAGGAUGACAAGGCGCUGCCGCCUCAAGCCCAUGAAGAGGGAGUACUGCUUCAUGAUCGUUGCAGGCAUCAUUUCCCAGGAGGUCCUCCUUCUCCCUAUGUGAAGCCACAUAUGGACAAACAUCUCUUGUUUAUUAUCUGCGAAGCUGGUUCGCAAUCAUUUAUCUAUAAAACCAGUCUCAUGGAUCUGAUUCCAAGGUUAGGAAUAGCUCCUCCUCUCAAACCGCAUUACAUUGUACAUGGAGAUGAUGAUGGUCAGAGGCACUUUUUUCUCACUAGCUCAGAACUAUGUGCCGUCUCAUUCCUGAAAGAUGGCAUGCAUGUGCUUAACCUGGACACCAGACGUCAGGAUUUCGAUCACCUUGCACGGCGGCCUGUUUCUCCAUUUGAUCCUUUUGUAAUGGUUAUCCAAGUUGGUCGCGCGACUCUUGCUCUUACUGAAACUCUCCACGUUUAUCGUCAGUCCCACCUUAUUCGCCCUACUGGAUCGACCUCAUGGGUGCGCUGCGUCGCAGAUCGGUCUCAACUUCUUGACAGGAAGGUCAAGCUGUCCGGAUAUGUAGUAGUGAGUGAUGAUUCCUUUAUAGUCUGUGAUACUGUCACAUGUUCUUGUCUUCGGUUUGACCUGAAUGCCAAGCAGUGGCAUGUUGUCAUGCCUUGGGCUCCUUUGGGAGAAUGCCUGCCAAGGGAUAUGUCCAGAUACUCCUUCCUAAAUGGCAGAUGUGUAUCUGUUGAUGGUUUUAUCUACACAUGCUCACGAAAUGGGCUUGCUGCUUAUGAACUACUCUCUGAAAAUCAUUGUGUGUACCUCAAGGACCCAAUCUUUUUCCCAUUCUCAUGGAAGAGUGAAGAUUGGCAGAGUGAAAGAAUGUGUUUGGAUUAUGCUGGAAAAGAUGUCAGCUCAGGUGCCAUCUUGUUUUGGGUGGUGCAAGGUUUGCAAAUUAAAUCUCGCCCCCUCAAGAAUCAGCUAUGGAUCACUGCCGUCCAGGUUAAGACUGAGAAAACAUCCAGCAAGAGCAUGAAACCGGUGGGAAUUAAGCAUGUGGUCUCUGCCACACGUCUGAUUGAUCAAGAGAAAACAAUUGAUCAGAAGGAAGUAAUCAGUACCAGAUGUUGUGCUGUCUCUUUCUGA
rnacentral:rRNA from 1 species